GGGGGUUACUUAUUACUGAAGCAAAACUGAUUAAUACAGACUCCCCCAGACAGAAGGAGGAUCGGGAAGAAUAGGAAGAGAACGAUGCAGGAUAACAGGAGGAGAGGAGGAAAACUUUUGAAUAUCUCUUGGGACUUAAAAUCAUGUUAAUGUCUGUGAGAAAUAUAAGACGAAGUUUAGGAUAUACGUGUAGCCCUCUAGAAGUUUAAAAUCUGGUUAGAGGGGAGCCAUGGACAAAUGAAAUGGCCUAGGCACAGGGACAGCAGAAUGUACGGCCAACGCAUGCUCCAGACCUGAGGCUGCAGUAAUUCCAGUUCACAAAUAAAAAACACUGCCUGACCUAACCAAAAUGAGCUACACAGUUAUGUUUACAAGUCAUAAAAUGAAAGUACUAGCGUGAAAAAGAAGGGUGAAGAAUAUACCGAUGUUAAAAAAAAAAAAAAAAGAAGGCUUGGAUAUCACUAUGAAUUAUUGUCUUUGAAAAUAGAUACUUGUCCCCACACAGUCUUCUGAUGACUUGAAAAGAAAGUUCUAAGGAAUUCUCAUUUGUUUUUCCCCUCUUGCCCGCAGUGUCCACAGCUCACUCAGCUCACCCAAUAAACCCUGAGGGUCUGCUUCACUUUUUCCUUCCCGCACAAGCGUCACACUGACAGUCUGGCCUUUCCAAACCACCACUGGCAACUUCAACUGAACUGAUCAUAUGUCAACUAAUUCUAGGAGGCCAGUCCUGAUCCCAAGAAACGAUGACAUUGUCCACAUUGGAAAUCACAAACCUCGUCUGCCAAGUUGGACUCAUCCCACAGUUAUACCAGAUGUCCCAGCUACUGCAACAAGACAAGAAAAGGAAAACACAGAUGUGAAUCUCUAGGGGCUAACAGAGGAUCAACGUGUGAACUAAAGCUGCCUUUACAAUCACCCCAAAGAGAAAACUAGGUAGCCAACUGCAUCUGAAAAACCAGCAAGUCUUCCCUAUUUGGGGAAGAGCAAAACAGAGCCAAACCUACUAUGGCCAAUGCCUGCGCCAUGUGCAGGAGGAUACCAAAGAGUGUCAAACAUGGUACCUGCCUUCAGGGGACUACCAGCAUCCCUCUGUCCCUGGCCUUCAAAUACCUGCCGUCCACCAGCGGGCUAAAUAGGUCAGUCAGUCCAAGAUGUAUUAAUGAGUCUUGAUGUCUCUUUCAUAAUUUAGGAUCUGGUCUUGCCUUGAAGCUGCCAGGUUCUAGAAACUUUGCUAUUUCUUCUUUUAUUCACUUGGAUCAUCAAAGGGAUAGAACACAUAAUCAUUUUUCUAUUGUUUGAACAGAACCCAUUACUGUUGCCGAGAAGUGGUAAUUGAGUUUAUCAAAUAUAAUUACUCCUCUCAACCCACCCCCUCUCCAGUCUGCCUUUCUCAAUCAGGAAGAACUAACACCACCUUUCACGAAGGAUACUUGCAUAUUUGAAUGGCUUCCCAGGACUCUUUAAGUGGCAUACAAUUACACUUAAUUUAAUUUUUUUGUCAUUAGUCCCAGAGGCUUUGAUUCAAAACCUGUGUUAUUCUGAUAUAAGGAAAAUAAAGCUCCACCUCAAAUUAAAUAUUUGCCUUUGCAUAUGGUUUGCUGUUCAUUGUACAACUGCUCUUUUGCUCGAGUCUUUCGUUCCCAGCAGCCACUUCUGGGCUUGGCAUCUUUUCCAGUUCCUUGUGUUGCCCCAUCAGUUGUCAGGUCACCAGGAGCCUGAGCACACUCAGGUUUCAGGGACACUUCCAGACUCCAAGGUCCCAGAAGGUGACACAUUUGGGAAUCUAACAUCUCUUGUAUUUUCC
ensembl:lncRNA